rnacentral:rRNA from 1 species
GAAUUCAGAUAAACUCCGAAUGCCAUCGAUUUAUGUCCGGGAGUCAGACGGUGAGUGAUAAGAUCCAUCGUCGAAAGGGGAACAGCCCAGACCACCAGUUAAGGUCCCUAAAUAUAUGUUAAGUGGAGAAGGAUGUGGAGUUGCAUAGACAACUAGGAUGUUGGCUCAGAAGCAGCCACCAUUUAAAGAGUGCGUAAUAGCUCACUAGUCGAGUGAUUCUGCGCCGAAAAUGUACCGGGGCUUAAACAUAUUACC